rnacentral:lncRNA from 1 species
CAAACUUAAAAUCCAUUCCAUUUAAGGUGGUCCUAAGUUGAAAACAGUGUUAGUCGUGACGUAAUUACCGGAAAGGACUAUUCAGUCCUAGGACUGGAGGAAAAUUAACGCAAUCUUAAUAUUUGUUUAGGUUACCUUACGCUAGUAUCUUUGGAGGCGUUGGUGCUUUUACCAAAGAACAGUUUGAGAAAAUAAAUGGGUUUUCAAAUAAAUUUUGGGGUUGGGGUGGCGAAGACGAUGACUUAUACAAAAGGUAAUAAUAUUGUUCAGUUUCUGUGAUCAACUUCAGGAAUUUUGAAACUUGGAUUAACUUUCUUUCAAUUCAUAUUCUAAUUCCACAAAAGUACACGUAUAAUGUACAUCAAAUUUUUUCGUACAUUUAUAGUUGAUAAAGCUAGUACACACGUAAAAACCUCACAUCUUGUAGCAAGUCUGCCAACCAGCCGUCAACAAGUUGUGUUCGCACUGCUUGUCCCAAGUUGUCAACAAGUUUGAGUCUUUGAGAACAAGCUGUUAACAACUUGUAACAAGCUUGAUGGCAUUAUCAGACUUGUUGCAAGGUUGUUCCAACAAGUCCGAUACAGUCAUGAUAUAACAAUAUUGUUACAACCUUGUGUCGCCAAUCUUGUAACGUUCUUGUUAUUAUAUAUCAUGACUGUAUCGGACUUGUUAGAACAGCCUUGUAACAAGUCUGAUAAUGCCAUCAAGCUUGUUACAAGUUGUCAACAGCUUGUUACAACAACUGGGAACAAGCAAUGCGAACACAACUUGUCGACAGCUUGUGAACAGAUUUGUAACAACUUGUUUGCAGACCUGUAACAAAUUGUGCGUUUUUAUGUGUGUACAUUGUAAACUUUUCCCCUUUGAAUUCAAAUCGCGUUUUAAUUAAUUUUUAAGAUGGAAUGUUCCAUUCAACUCGGCUGUCGCCUCGUUGAAUGGAACAUUCCAUCUUUUCAUCUCAUGAAAAUAUUCUUACCAUUGCACUCAUAAACAUUCAUUAUUUGUAUAUUAUUUAUGUGAAUGACAUUUCCAGGGUAAGGGUUCUGGGUCAUUUUCAUUAUAUUUUGUGAAGAGCUUAUUUUCCUUGAUGAAUGAUGUUUAAAUUUUUAGUUUUGACUCUUUUUGAUAAAAUAAGAAAAUUUGAAAUUCUAGCCUAUAAACAGGUUCUUGUUUAAAGGGGCUCUAAAUAGAAUUUUUUAGUCUAACAGGUUCUUAAAUUCUCGGUUCUUAUAUGCGGGGAUUUACUGUACUGCUCUCAUAAUUCUAUAUAUAAAUGUUGUUGCAGGAUUCGUGCGGCAAACUACACGUUGUCGAGACCAAUGAUCGCGUUGGGUCGUUACACAAUGCUGAAAGUUGGUCAUAAGAGUGCUGCAGGGGACCGUACAAGGUUUGUAAAUAUCCCAGUGGAGCUGUAAGAGAUAGCCAUUUCUGGAUCAGUUUGGAGUUAUCCAGUAUAAAUAAAGUCAUAGUUAGUUUAGUAUAGAUUAGUUUAGUUGAGGUUUCCUCCCACAGUAACACUGGAUCAAUAAGGAUGUUCUUACUCAGUGUUUUUUUCAGGAUUUUCUCUUGGGGGCUUUUAUUGCAGAGAANNNNNNNNNNNNNNNNNNNNCCCCCCCCCCCCCCCUACCGGGGGGCUGACACGUGUACUCAAUAAAUGUAGUUGAGACGGAAUGUGUUAAAGCAGGGGCACUGAGGGACACUAUAAACUGGUUAAAGAUGGCGAAUGCAUAGUUUUUCUUGUGUUGUGAGAUGAAUUCCAGCCAUAACGUUUUACAUACAUUACAUACAAAGAACAGUUUCGAAAAGAAUAUAGAAUUAUCCAGUAUAUAGAGUUAAAUUUGUGUCCCUCCAGAGGAAAGGCGUGUUAAUGGAUUAAAAUUCAUUUAGGCAUGAAAAACUGAGAACUUCAGCGCAGAGGAUGGCGACAGAUGGACUAAACUCCCUGAAAUACGACGUCGUCAAGACAGACGAAUACCAACUGUACACGCAAAUUACAGUAAACGUUGACCCUGACGCGGUCUGAUUAUCUUGUGGUAGUUUACAGGAUGUCCUAGGUUGACAGAAUUAUGAGUUCAUCAGCUGUCGUGGAAGUCCUGGAUAAGAGCUGGUGCUGAGUCCCCCCCCCCCCCCCCCNNNNNNNNNNNNNNNNNNNNCACACUCCCCUGUCGCUCCUUACCUUUUCCUCGUAUUGACCCGUGGCAAAAAUUGCACAAUAUGGAGUUCGGCGAUGGAAAUAGUAUCGGAUCACGGGAACGUUUGGUCCCAGAAAAUUUUGGAGUUAUCAGAAAAUUUUUUGAGUUCUAGAAGAUUUUGGAGUUCUCAGAAGAUUUUGGAGUUAUCAAAUAAUUUUGGCGUUCACAGAAAAUUUUUGAGUUAUCAGAAAAUUUUUUGAGUUAGGAUAGGAUAGGAUAGGAUAAAACUUUAUUUGACUACGCUGGCCACUUCAACCAUAGCUGCUUUCCAAGUGGGGCGUAGAUAAAUGUUACAAAAAUAUAUAAAAUACAAAAUCACUAAGAAAAUUAAGAACUACGAAUACAAAUACAUAUUACAAAACAAAUGGUAUACAAAACUCAAAUAGCUAAUUCGUCAGACUAACAGAGGAAAUAUUUCUAUUGAAAGAAUUUAAAGAUUCGCUGUUUCUUACUUGUUCAGGAAUGCUAUUCCAGAUUUUAACCCCACUAUAUCGAAAACAUUUUCUGCCAUACUCGGUAUUUGGUCGUGGCAGAAAGAGAGACGCAUUUGAACCUCGU